AGCUCCAAUAGCGUAUAUUAAAGUUGUUGCAGUUAAAAAGCUCGUAGUUGGAUCUCGGGAGCAGGCCGGCGGUCCGCCUCGCGGCGGUUUCUGCCCGUACUGCCCCACCCGCCGGGUUUUCCCCGGGGGGCUUCAUUGAGAGCCUCGGGGGGGCCGGAACGUUUACUUUGAAAAAAUUAGAGUGUUCAAAGCAGGCAGUUCGCCUGAAUAAUGGUGCAUGGAAUAAUGGAAUAGGACCUCGGUUCUAUUUUGUUGGUUUUCGGAACUUGAGGUAAUGAUUAAGAGGGACAGACGGGGGCAUUCGUAUUACACUGUUAGAGGUGAAAUUCUUGGAUCGGUGUAAGACGAACUACUGCGAAAGCAUUUGCCAAGAAUGUUUUCA
rnacentral:rRNA from 1 species